AGGAAGGAGCAUGGAGAAGACAAGAACAAGGCUCUCAGAAGGAAAUGGUGUGGCUGGAGCCAUGAGAACUGGUUGUGGAGGGGGUGAGGAAGGCAAAUAUAAUUUCUGACCUACGUAAUGAUGUAUGCACAAGAAGCCUCUCUUGAAUGUAUUAAUUCAGUAAACAGUUAUGGAGUCCUUACAAUGUGCUAGUGGGACUUUGAAGAUGAAUCCAAAUUUGGAUCCUGGCCUGGAAAGGCUCAAAGCCCAAUAUGGGAGCCUGGAUACAAAUGUGAAACUUAUCUUCUUUUAUUAACCAAUCAAUCACCUCCUGCCAAAACAACAUCAGCAAAAACAACAGAAAAAAACAAAAACAAAAACAAAAACAAAUCUGUGUACACAAGACCUUUGUUUCCACAGCAGACUUGGCUAAAGGUUUGGGCAUGCAUAUGCAUACCCCCAAAAUUAAAAAUGGAAAAUUGAA
rnacentral:lncRNA from 1 species